UAGAAAAGCAUAUUAAGUUAGCUAAGGAAUGAUUGCCUGAUAAACCAAAAACUUAACGAUGUCAUUUUCGAAAACCUUGAGUAUGUUGUCAUGAGACAAAUCAUCCUUGGCUACCUAAUAAGAACGCUCUUCU
rfam:Helianthus annuus linkage group 2, whole genome shotgun sequence.